rnacentral:sRNA from 3 species
UAAGGUUCGAUUCGAGCGAAAGCGAGAAAGCGUUGCCGCAGGCAACGACCCGAAGGGCGAAACGCGCAGCGCUGAGUCAUCCUUCCCCCACCACCA